rnacentral:rRNA from 1 species
AUUGAACGCUAGCGGGAUGCUUUACACAUGCAAGUAGAACGAGUGGCGGACGGGUGAGUAAUAUAUCGGAACGUGCGCAGUAGCGGGGGAUAACUACUCGAAAGAGUGGAUAAUACCGCAUAAUAUUGGAGGGGGCGUUAUCGGAUUAGCUAGUGGGUGGGGUAAAGGCUCACCAAGGCAACGAUCCGUAGCUGGUUUGAGAGGACGAACAGCCACAUGGGGACUGAGACACGGCCCAGACUCCUACGGUAGGCAGCAGUGGGGAAUUUUGGACAAUGGGGGAAACCCUGAGCCAGCCAUCCCGCGUGUAUGAGAAGGCCUUCGGGUUGUAAAGUACUUUUUGCAGAGAAGCGGUAUCUGCAGAAUAAGCACCGGCUAACUACGUGCCAGCAGCCGCGGUAAUUC